UACGGAGGGGGCAAGCGUUAUUCGGAAUUAUUGGGCGUAAAGGGCGCGUAGGCGGCUUGGCAAGUGGAAGGUGAAAUCCCUCGGCUUAACCGAGGAACUGCCCUCCAAACUGCUUCGCUUGAGACCGGGAGAGGUGAGUGGAAUUCCCAGUGUAGCGGUGAAAUGCGUAGAUAUUGGGAGGAACACCAGUGGCGAAGGCGGCUCACUGGACCGGUACUGACGCUGAUGCGCGAAAGCGUGGGGAGCAAACGGG
rnacentral:rRNA from 1 species